GGAUGUGAGGGCGAUCUGGCUGCGACAUCCGUCACCCCAUUGAUUGCCAGGGUUGAUUUGGCUGAUCUGGCUGGCUAGGUGGUUGUCCCCUUCCUCCCUCACUGCUCCAUGUGCAUCCCUCCCGAAGCUGCAUGCUCGGUCAAAGAGGACGACCAUCCCCGAUAGAGGAGGACCGGUCUUCGGUCAAGAGUAUACGAGUAGCUGCGCUCCCCUGCUAGAACCUCCAAACAAGCUCUCAAAACUCAAGGAAAAAUUGACAAUAUCCACUAUAAAAGGGGAGGGAUUUCAGGUUCCGAUAUUGAAGAAAGUGUUCAUUAGAUUGGGACC
rnacentral:snRNA from 1 species